rnacentral:rRNA from 1 species
CACACCGCCCGUCACACCAUGGGAGUCAGUUGCUCCAGAAGUGGCCGCGCCAACCGCAAGGAGGCAGGCCCCCAAGGAGUGACUGGUAACUGGGGUG